AGUGAACGCUGGCGGUAGGCCUAACACAUGCAAGUCGAACGGCAGCACAGUAAGAGCUUGCUCUUACGGGUGGCGAGUGGCGGACGGGUGAGGAAUACAUCGGAAUCUACUUUUUCGUGGGGGAUAACGUAGGGAAACUUACGCUAAUACCGCAUACGACCUACGGGUGAAAGCAGGGGAUCUUCGGACCUUGCGCGAUUGAAUGAGCCGAUGUCGGAUUAGCUAGUUGGCGGGGUAAAGGCCCACCAAGGCGACGAUCCGUAGCUGGUCUGAGAGGAUGAUCAGCCACACUGGAACUGAGACACGGUCCAGGAUCCUACGGGAGGCAGCAGUGGGGAAUAUUGGACAAAGGGCGGAAGCCUUAUCCAAGCUUACCGGGUGGGUGAAGGAGGCCUUCGGGGUGUAAAACCCUUUUGGUGGGAAAGAAAAAGAACAGGUUAAUAACCCGCUGUUCUGACGGUACCCAAAGAAAAAGCACCGGCUAACUUCGUG
rnacentral:rRNA from 1 species